rnacentral:rRNA from 1 species
CAUGCCUUACACAUGCAAGUCGAACGGUAACAGGUCUUCGGACGCUGACGAGUGGCGAACGGGUGAGUAAUACAUCGGAACGUGCCCAGUCGUGGGGGAUAACUACUCGAAAGAGUAGCUAAUACCGCAUACGAUCUGAGGAUGAAAGCGGGGGACCUUCGGGCCUCGCGCGAUUGGAGCGGCCGAUGGCAGAUUAGGUAGUUGGUGGGAUAAAAGCUUACCAAGCCGACGAUCUGUAGCUGGUCUGAGAGGACGACCAGCCACACUGGGACUGAGACACGGCCCAGACUCCUACGGGAGGCAGCAGUGGGGAAUUUUGGACAAUGGGCGAAAGCCUGAUCCAGCAAUGCCGCGUGCAGGAUGAAGGCCUUCGGGUUGUAAACUGCUUUUGUACGGAACGAAAAAGCUUCUCCUAAUACGAGAGGCCCAUGACGGUACCGUAAGAAUAAGCACCGGCUAACUACGUGCCAGCAGCCGCGGUAAUACGUAGGGUGCGAGCGUUAAUCGGAAUUACUGGGCGUAAAGCGUGCGCAGGCGGUUAUGUAAGACAGAUGUGAAAUCCCCGGGCUCAACCUGGGAACUGCAUUUGUGACUGCAUGGCUAGAGUACGGUAGAGGGGGAUGGAAUUCCGCGUGUAGCAGUGAAAUGCGUAGAUAUGCGGAGGAACACCGAUGGCGAAGGCAAUCCCCUGGACCUGUACUGACGCUCAUGCACGAAAGCGUGGGGAGCAAACAGGAUU